GCCUCGGUUGUGUAAGUGAUAGCACGCGUCCCCGGCAAGGAUGAAACGCGGGUUCAACUCCCGUCUGAGGUC